GCCACCCUCGAACGGGCAAAAGAAAGAAAGAGGCAGGUAAGGGGAGGCGAGGCCGUCCAAAAACGCUGGGUGUCAGCCCGGGGUGGCUAAUGGAGGGCGGCUUUUCUGGUGGGAUGAAAUGGAACGGCAAAUCCCACUUCAUCCCCUUUGGGCUAUGACAACAUCAUAGUCCAAUCUCCCAUUUUAUGAACAGGGAAACUGAGGCUCAGUGACUAGACAGACGUUGCCCAGAGUCAUGGUCAUGGAGGAAGCUUGUGCUAGAAUGGUGGAGAGGAAACCAGAGCCCAGCUCCUAAUGCAAGGCUCUUUCAUUCCUUUAGCCACCCUCGCCCCCGCCAAAACAAACAGACAAAAAACUGUCAUUCUCAUAUGACCACGGACUCUGCGCCCCGGCCGCAGGCGGAGGACAGGGAGGAGCGCACACGAGAAAGCUCCCACGCGCCCGCGCCUCGCCUCCGACGGGAAGGCGCCUCUUCCGACCGUCCUGGAUGCAAAUUAAAUACUUCCCUCCGCAGAAGACUUAUCUCGGGGUAGGGCCGCAGCCGGAUUUCCAAAUCGCGGGUUUGAUUUUCGCUGCGUCCUCUCCGCGACGCGCGCAGGGAGCGCGCCCGGCCACCUGCAGCCUCUGGCUGCGGCCAUCUUUCCGCCUGGGGCCACCUGGCCUGCGCCCUUUGUGCCCGGCCCGCUCCGUGACUGUUCUUCUUGCCGCUACUUACAGAACUCAGCCGCCUUAGCGUCUUAGAGAAGAGGACGGCAUGCAUGCGGACCCCGUCCACCACACCUGGAGAGCAGGGAGCCCUUAGUCCCUGGACACUUACCAGGGCCGCCACCCCUGGUCCACGCACGUGAUGACAUCUCACCAGGGGCAGCACACCGCCCGAGUCCGCGACACUGAUAACACCUCCUGCGGGCAGGAGGGCGCCACAGCCACCCCUGGUCCCCUAGAUUGUGUGAGGCUAGCAUUUCUGCCCGCCUCUUGGCGUGGACAGCACGCUGGACCGAGAUGGAACCACAGCUUUCUCUUCCCAAUCCCUGGCCUCACCGUUUUGUUUCAUACCUCACCGUUUGUUUCAAACCUCGUGGUGUUGAAAUGAUUAAAUGAGAUUAAGGGGUGUGUGGUAGUGUUGGGCAAACCACAAGAAAACGGUCUGGGUGGGGUCUGGCCCUAAAAUCUUCCUCCCCCACCUCCCAGGCUUCCUUGCCUUGCUGCUUCCUCUCAGCCUUUAAACAGGUUGGCCUCUCCAAGUCCUAAAAACAAAAUUAUCAAGCCAACCUCCUCCUGAAGUGCUCCCUCCAACUAGCUUCCAAGUGUUUCAUGCGGACCUCAAACAAUGGUCUUCCCUGGCUGCCUCUGCUUCCUCAUUUCUCAACACUUGGCAUUCUGGCUUCUCCUCCCCAACUCUAACCCUUCACCUUGCUCAGGCAAGAGCAACUCAUGACUUUCAUUUUGCCAAACCUUGCAGGCAUUCCUCAGGCCUUAUCUCUCUGGUUCUUUCUGCUACAUUUGACACCUUGGGAUGACUCUCACCUUCUGGAAUCUCUCUACUACCUUGGUUUCAGAAGAGUGAACCCUCUGGAUUAUCACAUGAAGCUACUUCCUGUGAGCAGCCCAGGGAUGGCCAGUCACUUGUGACCUACUUUCAGAGCUGGCAGUUCUGACUUCUAGAACAAACUCGGAACAAGCCCAUCUACAGCUGGUUGACUGAGUUUCCUUUGGGCUCCUGGCACCAGAAAGAAUUGCUCACUGGAAGGAUCAUAGGUGGCACUCAUGUCUCACUGCCCCACUCAGGCAACAUCAUGCACGCGGAUGAUCAACAGUCAGUUCCUGGUCAACAUAAGUAAACAAGCCUGUUUAAGAUAAAUUCCCCCACACUCCCUUGUACCUACUCCUUGCCCUCUGCCCCAGGGUUAUAGAACAGCUGCUUUCUGCUAUUCUCCCCCCAGGCUCUGCAGAACCUUCUGACCUUUCAGAAGGUUUGCAUCCUUUCCCUAUAGUUUUUCCACCGCUCUGACCAGUCCCCCACAAUAUAUAGCCUUGUAUGCAAAGCCAGGCCUGUCCAUGCAGGGUGACCAUCCAAGGUAGACAGUGGCAAAAUCUGGUGGAGGCAUCAGAGAUAGUGCCAUCAGUUUGCUGGAACAAGCAUAUCAAGGAGCCUGGCAGAUCUACACUUCACCAGACGGUGCCUGUAGCCAACAGGGCAGGCCCUUGCUCCAGGGAAACACUCAGAAAUCAAAACUCCUUGCUCUGCUGCCAGGGAACUCUCCAGGAGAUCCUCAGUGUCAUCAGAAGCUGAAAAAAACAGUGCUGAGAAACGUGGCCUGCCGUCUUUCCAGCUAAGGGAGAUGGCCCAUUCGACCCUGGGUUGUCCUCUGCAAACGCGCUGCUGCAGGUUGCAUGGCACCAUCUCCUGAUUGCAAUUUGCUUUCCUGAGGGAGUGAACUGACUGAAAUUGGAUGGUAAUAAGUUGCUAGGUUAUUUUCCACUUUUUAGUUUAUGAGGCUUAUUCAUUUUGCUUUAACAUUAACCACUGCCUUCCUUUUAAGGAGCUGGUGAGGCAGCGCAUGGCAACAGGUUCAGGGUGAGGAGUGGCACCACCUCCUUUCAGUGAGGAUUUGGGAAGGGUGAAAAGCACCCUAAUCUUCUCAGCCGCAUGUGAACAAACCACCUGUCAAGGUGGGUCCUUCCUAUAGGGAGGUUGAUGUCAGCCCUUCAGGGAGGUCUCAGUUUUCUUCCUCCACUUCCUAAUCCCUUCAUUAUAAUUCCUUCCACAACAGAAUAAGUUUCUUGAGCAAUGCAGCAAUAUCCAGCAAUUUUAGAUAGACAUUUACCUUUUGACCUAGAAAUCUCACUUCUACGAAUCCAUCCUAAAGACACACUUUCAGCUGGAUGUGGUCGCUCAUGCCUGCGAUCCUAACACUCUGGGAGGCUAAAGUGGAAGAAUCUCUUGGGCUCAGGAGCUCAAGACCAGCCUGGGCAACAUAGGAAGACCCUAUCUCU
rnacentral:lncRNA from 10 species